rnacentral:rRNA from 1 species
AACGAACGCUGGCGGCAGGCUUAACACAUGCAAGUCGAGCGCCCCGCAAGGGGAGCGGCAGACGGGUGAGUAACGCGUGGGAAUCUACCCAUCUCUACGGAAUAACGCAUGGAAACGUGUGCUAAUACCGUAUACGUCCUUCGGGAGAAAGAUUUAUCGGAGAGGGAUGAGCCCGCGUUGGAUUAGCUAGUUGGUGGGGUAAAGGACUACCAAGGCGACGAUCCAUAGCUGGUCUGAGAGGAUGAUCAGCCACACUGGGACUGAGACACGGCCCAGACUCCUACGGGAGGCAGCAGUGGGGAAUAUUGGACAAUGGGCGCAAGCCUGAUCCAGCCAUGCCGCGUGAGUGAUGAAGGCCCUAGGGUUGUAAAGCUCUUUCACCGGUGAAGAUAAUGACGGUAACCGGAGAAGAAGCCCCGGCUAACUUCGUGCCAGCUGCCGCCGUAAAAC